rnacentral:lncRNA from 1 species
CGNGGACUCGCCCAAGCGGCGCAAGGCCAAUUUCAACGAGGCGGAGACCGAGGUGCUGAUCGAGCAGGUGCUGAAGCACGAGCAGCUGCUGUUCGCGGCGGGGCCGGGCCGCGCCUCCCCGGGCCAGAAGCGGCGGGUCUGGGAGCUGAUCCGGCACAAGGUGAACCCAGUGGCCGCCUGCCCCCGCGACGUGGAGGAUCUCAAGAAGCGCUGGAGGGACCUGAAGCGGCGCGACCGCAGCAAGCUCUGCCGCCUGUCGCAGGGCUGCGGCCCCGCCGGCCACCCCGGGGGGCUCGGCCUGCUGCUGUGCACGGAGGAGAUGCCCCAGCCCGCCCCGCAGCCCGACCACCACCGGGCCUACGGCUCCGCGCUGGGCCCCGCCGAGGCCGUGCCCAUCGUGGGCGGCAUCGACACGCUGGACCUGCCCGGAGCCUCCGUGGUGGACAUCGGGUUUACAGAUGAUCCUGGUCCAUCCCACCAACCCUGUCUUGAGAACAUGAACUUAAAAGAGGAAAUAGUAGUGAAGGUAGUAGAGCCAGAAGAAAGUUCUGAGGACAUGGCUGUGGUUCCACCUAGCCAAGAGCAACUGCCAUUUCUGGGAACAGCUGGGGGUGGCUUGUCUGGGAAAGUAAAAGCCAAAACAAAAGGCCGGUCUCAGACAGACCAAAGUGAAAUUACUGAAGAGGACCUAAUGCAGAUCCAGCAGAACCAGAUGCAGGUGAUCCAGUCUGGCUUUGACAGUGUCAACCACAACCUUCGGCUGCUGCAGCAAGGCAUGCAAGAUCUCAGCAACAGCCUCAGUAUUAUGGCACACACUCUGGUGGCUAUCAAAAAUGUUUAUGUGAAAAACAACACUGGCCCAACCACCUACGCCACCACCUCUACUCAGACCACAGCAGGGUACCUGAGUCCUGGGUCUCCCCAGAUCUCCCCAGCUGAGGACAGAGGCAGAGCACAGGUGGCUGGAAGCAGCAGCAGAAGCAGCAGCUGCAGUUCCAGCUCUAUGUCUCAAGAACCAGGCCCUUCAGAAUUUCCUAGACCACCCCUGAGAACCAUUAAGAAAGAACAUCCAAAUGGCUGCUACUAUUUCUGUUUUGCAGAUGUUUAA